CUUUUAACCAGUGUGAUGGUGGCUCCUGAAUCGCAGAGCCCCUGGACUGCUUUCCCCUCCAAGUACACAGUCUGUCUAUGAUGCUGGCGGUUGUCAGCAUUAGCCUGCACAGGAUCCGCUUCAUGCAAUACUUCCCAUUGUUCCAUUGUGUUUAUGGGAAUUGCGGUGCCAUAGGGACUUGUUGCCUCUGCUUGGUAGUAGUGGGCUGCCUGUCGAGGUGGUGGGGGUAGUCCGGGCCUGAUCCAGGUGGAGCGAUCUUUUAGCUGCGGGCAUUCCCUCUUAUAAUGUCCCCAGCGUUGGCAAUGGUGGCACUGUACAGAGCUAGUUGGUCGAGGUUUCUGUUGUACACUAGCGGGUGGAUAAGGAGGUAGUUGUCGUG